rnacentral:rRNA from 1 species
UACGUAGGUUGCAAACGUUGCUCGGAAUCAUUGGGCGUAAAGCGCACGUAGGCGGCUUCAAAAGUCGGAUGUGAAAUCCCUCGGCUCAACCGAGGACGUGCAUCCGAAACUGUGAGGCUUGAGUACUGAAGAGGAUCGCGGAAUUCCCGGUGUAGAGGUGAAAUUCGUAGAUAUCGGGAAGAACACCAGUGGCGAAAGCGCUCUACUGGGCCAUAACUGACACUGAGGGACGAAAGCUAGGGGAGCGAAAGGG